rnacentral:lncRNA from 1 species
AAUAUAACCAGAAUUUGGAGGAAAACUAAAGCAGGAAUGGGGAAGGAGAUCUUAGUCUGCGAUGUGGAUUUGGAACUCUGCAAGCAUAUUCACAUGAAGGACUUUUCUGAGGAAACAAACCAGUGAAGAAGUGACAGUGACCAGACCUGGACUAACAAAGCUCUAAUAAGGU